AUUGAACGCUGGCGGCAGGCUUAACACAUGCAAGUCGAACGAGUGGAGGACGGGUGAGUAAUGCUUGGGAAUACAGCUUAUGGAGGGGGAUAACUACGGGAAACUGUAGCUAAUACCGCGUACCAUAGGAUGAGCCCAAGUGGGAUGAGGUAGUUGGUGAGGUAAAGGCUCACCAAGCCGACGAUCUCUAGCUGGUCUGAGAGGAGGACGCGCCAAACCGGGACUGGGGGACGGCCCACACUCCCACGGGUGGCAGCAGGGGGGAAUGUUGCGCAAUGGGGGCAACCGUACGCAUCCAUGCCGCGUAAAUGAAGAAGGCCUUCGGGUUGUUAAGUUCUUUCGGUAGCGAGGCGUUAACUACAGAAGAAGCACCGGCUAACUCCGUGCCAGCAGCCGCGGUAAUUC
rnacentral:rRNA from 1 species